UUUUUUUUUUUUUUUUUUGCCACAACUCCUGGCCCCUCCAUAUAUGGAUAUAUGCAGGAUAGGGCCAUGUGAUGAGCUGGCAGCUAGGUUACUCUAUCAAAAGUACAGGUGGUGGGAGUUCCCAUCGUGGCUCAGUGGUUAGCGAACCUGAUGAGUAUGCAUGAGGACGUGGGUCUGAUUCCUGGCCUCGCUCAGUGGGUUAAGGAUCCGUGUGGCAGUGAGCUGUGGUGUAGGUUGCAGAUGCGACUUGGAUCCUGCGUUGCUGUGGCUCUGGUGUAGGCCAGCAGCAGCAGCUCCAUUCGACCCUUACCUGGGAACCUCCAUAUGCCACGGGUGCGGCCCUAAAAAAGACAAAACAAAAAACAAAAAAACCCAAUAAAGUACAGGGUAGAGUGAGGGCUCAGAACAAAUUCUGAUGUAGCAGUAAUGCCUCACGCAAGGAAAUACUAGACUUUAUAUCACUUCACUUUGAAACACUUGGGACAAGCAUGUUCUUCAAUGCAGAGAAAGAGGCUCAACAAAUAUUCAUGGAAUUUAAUAUUCAUUCCCUAAAGCAAAAUAAUCCUGCCACGGUAAAAUAAGCAAUCUGUUUCUACAUUGCAAUGGCAGUAUAUAUCUAUAUCUUGAAAUAUAUUGCCUAUGUAAUUCACAAUAUAUUGCUCUAGUAAAUCAGCCCUAAUUCCAAAUUUAUUUGAAAUAAACUUCAACUUGUCAAUGCUAAAACGUUCUGUAAGCAUCAAAUAAAAAAUAACUGUAACAUUUACAUCCUAUCAUUUUCCGUGUAGUAGAGUAAAACUUAUUGUGUUAAGUACUUUGUAUCAAGAGAGACGGAAACAGCUUCAGCAAAGCUGCACCGUGGAGUUUGCAACACCUUAUCUGUCAGAUGAGUGCUCUCAUUAAAUCUUGUUUCUAACAAUCCCUAAUACAUUUUCUCCUAUUCAAUAUUUGAAUAUCAGAUUUUUUUAAAAAAGAAAAUUGUUAGUUUGCACACAUGGGAGAUAGAUUUUUGGCAAGCAAGAGUAUCCUAAACACGGCAUGAAGUCCCAUUACUCAGUUCUAAUAUUGGUCACUAAAAAGCAAAGACCUAAAAUGUACAGUCAGUAAAAAUUAAUUCCCAAUCUUAGAAAGUACACUGAAGUGAAUACUUUACUUUCAGUCAGAAAUAAAACUAUCAGCUACUUAGGAGAGCAUAUUAGAGGUGUAAGUUGUGUCACAGAUUUCCUCCCAAAUCUCAUCAAUGGUCACACCUCCUUAGGUGAUAACCUCUCUUCUUAAACUUGUAAGAAUCCCUGAUGACCCAUGACCCCUCUUUGCUUUGCACCUGUAGAUCUGGAUCCUAUAAACUUCUAUCAUUUCAUGUAUGGCCCCCUGUCCCGAAAACUUACACAACUAUACUGUGACCUUUAUUGGGCAAAACAGUUCUUAGAGCUAGCUGAAAGGCUGUUUCUGGGUUAUAACCCUGUUUGUUCCAAGUAAAAUUUUCCAUUUCUCUCUUUUGAUUGGUUACUUUUUCUUCAACAAUACAUAUUUUCACACAUACAUAUACACACAAAUCCACUCAUGUAUACAUAUGUUAUCUUGCAAAGCUAUUAGCUAAUAUUAUUAAUUUUAAAAAUUAAAAACUAAAUGAAUUGUUCGGUCUAGUAAUGGCAAAGAACUAUGAUCAUCCAGAAGAGAAAUAUGUAAGAAUACUUAUUAAAAUACUGACAAAGGUAGUGACGUUAGGGGGAUUUGGGGUUCCUUGUCCAGUGCCUUCUGUCUGUGUCUGUUUCCAACAUGGGAGAUCAGAUAGGGUAUUUCGUUUGCAGCAGGUUCCACAGAAUCCCUCUUCCUAUGAAUGGCUCAUUACCUAUUGAGCCAAAGGUUCUCCUUGACAAUCUCAUUCCCCUCCACCCUUGCUGCUGAGUGCGCCUCUUGGCAGGUGUAGAGCCAACAGACACGAAGACUACUGCCAUGUGAGCACACAUACAUUUUUCAAAUAUGAAAAUCCUUGUUUGAAGAGCUACGGAAAUCCAAAUGGUAGAAACCCAUCUAAGAAACAAAUAGGUAACACUGAGAGAGAAUCAAGGUCACAGGCUUUUCUCUAGGUAACUGUCUCAAUGCUUUUUGAGCAGAAGUAGCCUUUUAUUAGGGACAGGGGAAAUCUAAAGAAGCUCAAGGUCUUAAUUACAUGUUUCCCAAGUCGUAUUUAGGCAGGAAAGUGCAAACUCAUUUGAAUAAUUAUUAAUUGGUCCACUCGACAAAUUGCUAACCAAAAUUGUCAUUUAGGAAAUACAUAAUUAAAAAAUGAAAGUGAUGAAACCAUUUAUACUUUUUUUUUCUUUCCAAAAUAGGCAGAGUUUUUGUUUUGUUUUGUUUCCUCACAGUCUCAUUCCAUUUAACACAGAUCUUGGCUGCAUUUUGCAUAUUACUACAAGAUUUAUGAUGUGAUAAUAUUCUCUCUGAUGUCAAAACAGAAAAUGUGCUGCUAAGUAUUACAAUUUUAUGAUCUCUGGCUUAACCUCAUUGCAACAAAUAUGAUGGGUUUACUACUAUCUAAGCUAAGUGAGCAAUUGUAAAGUAGUUUUGAAGUAGUUUAAUGUUGGAAGUACUUGGUGGCUUUGUGGGUAGGACUCAGGGCUUUCAUCCCUGAGGCCCAGGACAUCAAGCCACCGCAUUCUAAGGCCAAAAAUAAAUAAACUAUAUAAAAUAAAGUAGUUUAAUAUGGUCCUUCAUGAUCAUGAUUAAAGCUUUUCCCUUAGUGAUAAUACCCCCAACUUGUCAAUUCUCUCAUCUUCAAUUCUAAAGACUCAAGAGUACUCUUUUUGACUACAGAGUAACUGUGCAAUGGGCUCUUCAGUCAUAAGAAGGGAAGAAGGCAAAAUCUUUGAAGCAAUAAGGUAUUGCUCAUAUCUAGAUGGUCAGAAGGUUGAAAGGCUGGUCCCUGUUGGCCAGUGGUUCUUCUCGCCAACAACAGGACCCAACCUUUGUGUUGAAUUGGCUUCUAGCCAGGUCUCCUAAAUUUCCCCCUGCAAAGCAAUGCCUUUCUUUUCUCCUUCCCCUUGGAAGUUGUGAAUUUUAAUCUUUAUGUCCCAGUCAGGAUUGAGUCUUUGUUCCUGUUUCCACAGACUCAGGCUCACCAAGGAAGAGACGAUUUCACAGGGAUCCAAUGAAAAUGCCCUAGUGAACAUGGUGGAUGCUAUAAAUGCAGAUUAACCCUAACAAUCAUUAUCUACUUUUUUUAUAUUCUUAUAUAUUAGGAAACUCCUAAGAAAAUCUUAAAAAUCAUUAUAAAGGGCACAUAGUUCGGACUGGUUUCAAAAGGGCACAGUUUCCUUGUAUCCCAGUAUAUACUAACCAAAGAAGAGAAACGUACAAUGACUUGAAAGCUAUUUGGAAGAUAAAAUGCGUAGGAUUUUGUGAAGGCUUUAGAGUGGAGAGGAUGAAAUAAUGGGAGGAGGUGGUUGUAGAGUUCCGUUUUCAGGCUAAAGAGAAAACCAGGUUUGGAGGGAGACUUCUGUGAAUUCAGGGGUAAUCAUGCUGAAUUUGAAGUGCUAAAGACACUAGGAAAUUGCUCUCCACAGAAGGGAGCCCCUUCACCAAAGUCAUACCCCUUCCAGAGACAGAACUUGCAUCCAAUGACUAGUUAAUGUAAAUCAGAGUCUCUUAGGUCCAGUUGAGAACAUUUCUGAAGGGCCAUGCCCGUGUUGGAGUUCAACUUAGAACUGGUUGAUCUUGUCCAAAUUUUGGCCUCGACAGAGUGUUUUUGAAAUGGGAGCCUCUCGAUGCUAAAACCAGGAGGGUCAGAAGCAAACCAGAAUGGUUGGUUCUCUGAGAAGCUAAGUAAAAUUCACUCUGCUCGGUCUUUUUUCUGGCAUUCCCUUCAUGGUGUUGUUUGUAAACACUGCUUGUUAAUGCUUGCAAGCAAAUAUUCUCAGAGCCUAUUUUGUAGGAAAUCUUACCUAAGACAGAUAACAAACCAUGUUCCUUUUGGAAAAGCAUUCCGUGCUAUACCCAGUUUUAAGAGGUUCAGUACUUCAUGGAUGUAGGUAAGUCUGCAAGAGACUCAGAGCAAGUAUCCCUUUAUCUUGCUUGUCUCUAUUCUGCCUCCAUCUACAUAUGUUGUCUUUAGUUUACAUGUCUCACACUCCCAAAACUUAUAUUGUCUACAAUAUUUUGUUUAAUUUGGGAUAAAAUUUCAGGUUAAGUUUCUUGAAUCUAGCUUUAUUUUUAUUUUAAUUCUUAAAAAAUUUUGACCAUGGCUGCAGCAUGUGGAGUUCCUGGGGCAGGGAUUGAACCUGUGCCACAGCAGUGACCCUAGACACUGAAGGACAACUAGGCAGACUCUCAAUUGCUGAGUCACGAGAGAACUCCUUGAAUUUAGUGGUUAGAUUGACUAUGUGAUCACGCAUUGAUAAUGCAUGCAAUCAAUAGUUUAAAAUUAAAAGUGUUUUUUCAAAAAAGCUUAUUUUUAUAUGUUAUGUGAAAUAAACAUUCAUCUAAUAUUUAUUAGAAUUUCUUGUUCUG
rnacentral:lncRNA from 1 species